AUUGAACGCUGGCGGCAGGCCUAACACAUGCAAGUCGAGCGGGGUUUUCGGACCUAGCGGCGGACGGGUGAGUAAUGCGUAGGAAGCUACCCGAUAGAGGGGGAUACCAGUUGGAAACGACUGUUAAUACCGCAUAAUGUCUACGGACCAAAGUGUGGGACCUUCGGGCCACAUGCUAUCGGAUGCGCCUACGUGGGAUUAGCUAGUUGGGGGGGUAAUGGCGCACCAAGGCGACGAUCCCUAGCUGGUUUGAGAGGAUGAUCAGCCACACUGGAACUGAGACCCGGUCCAGACUCCUACGGGAGGCAGCAGUGGGGAAUAUUGGACAAUGGGCGCAAGCCUGAUCCAGCCAUGCCGCGUGUGUGAAGAAGGCCUUCGGGUUGUAAAGCACUUUCAGUAGGGAGGAAGGGUGUUGUGUUAAUAGCACAGCAUUUUGACGUUACCUACAGAAGAAGCACCGGCUAACUCUGUGCCAGCCGCCGCCGUAACAC
rnacentral:rRNA from 1 species